rnacentral:rRNA from 1 species
GACGAACGCUGGCGGCGUGCUUAACACAUGCAAGUCGAACGGAAAGGCCCUGCUUUUGUGGGGUGCUCGAGUGGCGAACGGGUGAGUAACACGUGAGUAACCUGCCCUUGACUUUGGGAUAACUUCAGGAAACUGGGGCUAAUACCGGAUAGGAGCUCCUGCUGCAUGGUGGGGGUUGGAAAGUUUCGGCGGUUGGGGAUGGACUCGCGGCUUAUCAGCUUGUUGGUGGGGUAGUGGCUUACCGAGGCUUUGACGGGUAGCCGGCCUGAGAGGGUGACCGGCCACAUUGGGACUGAGAUACGGCCCAGACUCCUACGGGAGGCAGCAGUGGGGAAUAUUGCACAAUGGGCGGAAGCCUGAUGCAGCAACGCCGCAUGCGGGAUGACGGCCUUCGGGUUGUAAACCGCUUUCGCCUGUGACGAAGCGUGAGUGACGGUAAUGGGUAAAGAAGCACCGGCUAACUACGUG